GAACUGGAUUGUGCGCUGGCCGCCACCGCUGCCACCUGCUCAGAGUGAAAUCAUGAAGGUGGUCAACCUGAAGCAAGCCAUUUUGCAAGCCUGGAAGGAGCGCUGGAGUGACUACCAAUGGGCAAUCAACAUGAAGAAAUUAUUUCCUAAAGGAGCCACCUGGGACAUUCUCAACCUGGCAGAGGCAUUACUAGAGCAGGCCAUGAUUGGACCAUCCCCCAAUCCUCUCAUCUUGUCCUACCUGAAGUAUGCCAUUAGUUCCCAGAUGGUGUCCUACUCUUCUGUCCUCACAGCCAUCAGUAAGUUUGAUGACUUUUCUCGGGACCUGUGUGUCCAGGCAUUGCUGGACAUCAUGGACAUGUUUUGUGACCGUCUGAGCUGUCACGGCAAAGCAGAGGAAUGCAUCGGACUGUGCCGAGCCCUUCUUAGCGCCCUCCACUGGCUGCUGCGCUGCACGGCAGCCUCUGCAGAGCGGCUCCGGGAGGGGCUGGAGGCCGGCACUCCAGCCGCUGGGGAGAAGCAGCUUGCCAUGUGCCUUCAGCGCCUGGAGAAAACCCUCAGCAGCACCAAGAACCGGGCCCUGCUGCACAUCGCCAAACUAGAGGAGGCCUCAUUGCACACAUCCCAGGGACUUGGGCAGGGUGGCACCCGAGCCAAUCAACCAACAGCCACUGGAUUCUGGCCUCCCUCUGCCUCUCUCUCCUGAGCCUGUGUGAUGCCAUACCUUCUGAAG
rnacentral:sRNA from 1 species